rnacentral:rRNA from 1 species
GAUGAACGCUGGCGGCGUGCUUAACACAUGCAAGUCGAACGAGGAAUUUCAAAUGAGGCUUCGGCGGAUUUUAAAAUUCUUAGUGGCGGACGGGUGAGUAACGCGUGGGCAACCUGCCCUGUACAGGGGGACAACAGCUGGAAACGGCUGCUAAUACCGCAUAAGCGCACAGCAUCGCAUGAUGCCGUGUGAAAAACUCCGGUGGUACAGGAUGGGCCCGCGUUGGAUUAGGUAGUUGGUGAGGUAACGGCCCACCAAGCCGACGAUCCAUAGCCGACCUGAGAGGGUGACCGGCCACAUUGGGACUGAGACACGGCCCAAACUCCUACGGGAGGCAGCAGUGGGGAAUAUUGCACAAUGGGGGAAACCCUGAUGCAGCGACGCCGCGUGAGCGAAGAAGUAUUUCGGUAUGUAAAGCUCUAUCAGCAGGGAAGAAAAUGACGG